rnacentral:rRNA from 1 species
UCAAGAAACUUCCACAAUGGGCGAAAGCCUGAUGGAGCGACGUCGCGUGAUGGACGAAGUGCUUCGGCACGUAAACAUCUUUUAUGUGGGAUGAAAUUAUUGACAGUACCACAUGAAUAAGGGGCUCCUAACUCUGUGCCAGCAGGAGCGGUAAUACAGAGGCCCCAAGCGUUAUCCGGAAUCACUGGGCGUAAAGGGUGUCGAGGCGGUUGUAUUAGUCGUUCGUAAAAUCUACGAGCUUAACUUGUAGGCGGCGAACGAAACGGUACGACUUGAGGUUUGGAGAGGUGCGUGGAACUCACGGUGUAGGGGUGAAAUCCGUUGAUAUCGUGGGGAACACCAAAGGCGAAGGCAGCACACUGGCCAAAAUCUGACGCUCACACACGAAAGCUAGGGUAGCGAAGAGGAUUAGAUACCCCCGUAGUCCCUGAGCGGGCUGGCAAGGCGCAU